rnacentral:rRNA from 1 species
GGCGAACGCUGGCGGCAGGCCUAACACAUGCAAGUCGAGCGCCCCGCAAGGGGAGCGGCAGACGGGAGAGUAACACGUGGGAACGUACCCUUCAGUUCGGAACAACCCAGGGAAACUUGGGCUAAUACCGGAUACGUCCGUAAGGAGAAAGAUUUAUCGCUGAAGGAUCGGCCCGCGUCCGAUUAGCUAGUUGGUGAGGUAACGGCCCACCAAGGCGACGAUCGGUAGCUGGUCUGAGAGGAUGAUCAGCCUCACUGGGACUGAGACACGGCCCAGACUCCUACGGGAGGCAGCAGUGGGGAAUAUUGGACAAUGGGCGCAAGCCUGAUCCAGCCAUGCCGCGUGGGUGAUGAAGGCCCUAGGGUUGUAAAGCCCUUUCGGCGGGGAAGAUAAUGACGGUACCCGCAGAAGAAGCCCCGGCUAACUUCGUGUCAGCCGCCGCGGUAACAC